rnacentral:rRNA from 1 species
AGCGAACGCUGGCGGCAGGCUUAACACAUGCAAGUCGAGCGGGCGUAGCAAUACGUCAGCGGCAGACGGGUGAGUAACGCGUGGGAACAUACCUUUUGGUUCGGAACAACACAGGGAACCUUGUGCUAAUACCGGAUAAGCCCUUACGGGGAAAGAUUUAUCGCCGAAAGAUUGGCCCGCGUCUGAUUAGCUAGUUGGUGAGGUAACGGCUCACCAAGGCGACGAUCAGUAGCUGGCUGAGAGGAUGAUCAGCCACAUU